GGGUUGUGAGGUUAAGCGACCAAGCGUACACGGUGGAUGCCCUGGCAGUCAGAGGCGAUGAAGGACGUGCUAAUCUGCGAAAAGCGCCGGUAAGGUGAUAUGAACCGUUAUAACCGGCGAUGUCCGAAUGGGGAAACCCAGUGUGACUCGUCACACUAUCAUUAACUGAAUCCAUAGGUUAAUGAGGCGAACCGGGGGAACUGAAACAUCUAAGUACCCCGAGGAAAAGAAAUCAACCGAGAUUCCCCCAGUAGCGGCGAGCGAACGGGGAGGAGCCCAGAGCCUGAAUCAGUAUGUGUGUUAGUGGAAGCGUCUGGAAAGGCGCGCGAUACAGGGUGACAGCCCCGUACACAAAAGCGCAUGUGCUGUGAGCUCGAUGAGUAGGGCGGGACACGUGGUAUCCUGUCUGAAUAUGGGGGGACCAUCCUCCAAGGCUAAAUACUCCUGACUGACCGAUAGUGAACCAGUACCGUGAGGGAAAGGCGAAAAGAACCCCGGCGAGGGGAGUGAAAAAGAACCUGAAACCGUGUACGUACAAGCAGUGGGAGCCCCACCACUAAGCCAGUGGUGAACUCCACAUACGCAUCCUUUGCGGAAGAUACGAUUAACGGAGCGAAAGCGACGUUCAACCGCAAAAGAAGCAGAGGGGGCUUAGUGGUGGGGUGACUGCGUACCUUUUGUAUAAUGGGUCAGCGACUUAUAUUCUGUAGCAAGGUUAACCGUAUAGGGGAGCCGGAGGGAAACCGAGUCUUAACCGGGCGUUAAGUUGCAGGGUAUAGACCCGAAACCCGGUGAUCUAGCCAUGGGCAGGUUGAAGGUUGGGUAACACUAACUGGAGGACCGAACCGACUAAUGUUGAAAAAUUAGCGGAUGACCUGUGGCUGGGGGUGAAAGGCCAAUCAAACCGGGAGAUAGCUGGUUCUCCCCGAAAGCUAUUUAGGUAGCGCCUCGUGAACUCAUCUCCGGGGGUAGAGCACUGUUUCGGCCAGGGGGCCAUCCCGGCUUACCAACCCGAUGCAAACUGCGAAUACCGGAGAAUGUUAUCACGGGAGACACACGGCGGGUGCUAACGUCCGUCGUGAAGAGGGAAACAACCCAGACCGCCAGCUAAGGUCCCAAAGUCAUGGUUAAGUGGGAAACGAUGUGGGAAGGCCCAGACAGCCAGGAUGUUGGCUUAGAAGCAGCCAUCAUUUAAAGAAAGCGUAAUAGCUCACUGGUCGAGUCGGCCUGCGCGGAAGAUGUAACGGGGCUAAACCAUGCACCGAAGCUGCGGCAGCGAACGUAUCACUUAAAGCGAUUCAGCGGAUGACGAUUGACGGAGCGAAGCGACGUCAAAGCGUUUUACAACGUCGAGUCGGUUUAAGGAUACGUUCGUUGGGUAGGGGAGCGUUCUGUAAGCCUGCGAAGGUGGCCUGUGAGGGUUGCUGGAGGUAUCAGAAGUGCG
rnacentral:rRNA from 1 species